AUACUCUGCUUUUUCUUCUGUUCUAAAAAUCUUUUGCUUUUUACUGAAGAUUUCCCUAAAGAGGAACAUUUAUGAGUCUGUACCCAAAAUUUUUAUGGCUUUGUUUUAGUGAGGCU